UCCCGGUUGGUGUAAUGGUUAACAUUGCCGCCUCUCAGGUUAGCAGACAGCUGUCCGCGGCAGCUCGGGGUUCGAUUCCCCGAUCGGGAA
rnacentral:tRNA from 1 species